rnacentral:rRNA from 1 species
GCCCUUGGGUCCGGCAUAACUCCGGGAAACUGGAGAUAAUUCCGGAUAACGCACAUAUGCUGGAAUGCUUUAUGCGUAAAAUGGAUUCGUCUGCCCAAGGAUGGGUCUGCGGCCUAUCAGGUAGUAGUGGGUGUAAUGUACCUACUAGCCUACGACGGGUACGGGUUGUGAGAGCAAGAGCCCGGAGAUGGAUUCUGAGACAUGAAUCCAGGCCCUACGGGGCGCAGCAGGCGCGAAAACUUUACAAUGCGGGAAACCGUGAUAAGGGGACACCGAGUGCCAGCAUCAUAUGCUGGCUGUCCAGGUGUGUAAAAUACACCUGUUAGCAAGGGCCGGGCAAGACCGGUGCCAGCCGCCGCGGUAACACCGGCGGCCCGAGUGGUGAUCGUGAUUAUUGGGUCUAAAGGGUCCGUAGCCGGUUUGGUCAGUCCUCCGGGAAAUCUGAUAGCUCAACUAUUAGGCUUUCGGAGGAUACUGCCAGACUUGGAACCGGGAGAGGUAAGAGGUACUACAGGGGUAGGAGUGAAAUCUUGUAAUCCCUGUGGGACCACCUGUGGCGAAGGCGUCUUACCAGAACGGGUUCGACGGUGAGGGACGAAAGCUGGGGGCACGAACCGGAUUAGAUACCCGGGUAGUCCCAGCCGUAAACGAUGCUCGCUAGGUGUCAGGCAUGGCGCGACCGUGUCUGGUGCCGCAGGGAAGCCGUGAAGCGAGCCACCUGGGAAGUACGGCCGCAAGGCUGAAACU